rnacentral:rRNA from 1 species
UACAGAGGUCCCGAGCGUUGUUCGGAUUCACUGGGCGUAAAGGGUGCGUAGGUGGUGAGGUAAGUCGGAUGUGAAAUCUCCGAGCUCAACUCGGAAAUGGCAUUGGAAACUACCUUGCCCGAGGGUUGGAGGGGGGACUGGAAUACUUGGUGUAGCAGUGAAAUGCGUAGAUAUCAAGUGGAACACCAGUGGCGAAGGCGAGUCCCUGGACAACUCCUGACACUGAGGCACGAAAGCUAGGGGAGCAAACAGG